rnacentral:rRNA from 1 species
CCCUUAGAUGUUCUGGGCCGCACGCGCGCUACACUGAUUCAUGCAACAAGUUUUGUCCUUGGCUGAUAGGCCUGGGUAAUCUUUGAACGUGAAUCGUGAUGGGGAUAGAUGAUUGCAAUUAUUCAUCUUCAACGAGGAAUUCCUAGUAAACGCAAGUCAUCAGCUUGCAUUGAUUACGUCCCUGCCCUUUGUACACACCGCCCGUCGCACCUACCGAUUGAAUGGUCCGGUGAAAUCUUCGGAUCUGAGAGAUGUCUGAUUAAUUUCGGACGCCUUUUGGAAAAGUUGCUUAAACCUUACCAUUUAGAGGAAGUAAAANUCGUANCA